ANCUGCGGAAGGAUCAUUAUUGAAUCCUUAGGAUGUCGCUGGCCUUUCGGGGCAUGUGCACUCCGCCUUUCAAUCCACCUGUGCACUUAUUGUAGGUUCAGAGGGGUAAAACCUUUUGGCCUGCGUAUUUUUACACACACUUUAAAAAGUAACAGAAUGUAAAACUUAGUAGACCUCUGGGUCGAAAACAUAAUACAACUUUCAACAACGGAUCUCUUGGUUCUCGCAUCGAUGAAGAACGCAGCGAAUUGCGAUAUGUAAUGUGAAUUGCAGAAUUCAGUGAAUCAUCGAAUCUUUGAACGCACCUUGCGCCCUUUGGUAUUCCGAAGGGCAUGCCUGUUUGAGUGUUAUUAAUACCUCACUCUUGAAGUCUUUCAUUAGACGUCAAGAUGUGGACUUUGGAGGUUUUUGCAGGCCAUCACUGGUCAGCUCCUCUUAAAUGUAUUAGCGGAACUCUAUGCAGUACCGGCUUCGGUUUGAUAAUCCUAUCUAUGCUGUCGCUGUGAACUGUGCUGUUUGGCUUAUAAUUGUCUUCGGACUGCCUUUAACUUGGCAUAAUAUUUAAGCUUAACCUCAAAUCAGGUAGGACUACCCGCUGAACUUAAGCAUAUCAAUAAGCGGAGGAAAAGAAACUAACAAGGAUUUCCCCUAGUAACUGCGAGUGAAGAGGGAAAAGCUCAAAUUUAAAAUCUGUCUGCCUUGCUGCAGUCCGAGUUGUAGUUUAGAGAAGUGCUAUCCGCGUCGGCCUGUGCAAAAGUUUCUUGGAAAGAACAUCAUAGAGGUGACAAUCCCGUCUUUGGCAUAGAACACCAGUGCUUUUGUGAUACGCUCUCACGAGUC
rnacentral:rRNA from 1 species